rnacentral:rRNA from 1 species
UACGUAGGUGGCAAGCGUUGUCCGGAUUUACUGGGCGUAAAGGGCGUGCAGGCGGUUUGUUAAGUUCAGGGUGAAAGCUCCCGGCUCAACUGGGAGAGGUCCUUGGAUACUGGCAGACUUGAGGAGGGUAGAGGAGAGUGGAAUUCCCGGUGUAGUGGUGAUAUGCGUAGAUAUCGGGAGGAACACCAGUGGCGAAGGCGGCUCUCUGGGCCCUACCUGACGCUGAGACGCGAAAGCUAGGGGAGCAAACGGG